CGGCGUGCUUAACACAUGCAAGUCAACGGGGAUAGGUGGAAAGGCUCGGCCCGGAAGACUAAUUCGAGUGGCGACGGGUGAGUAACGCGUGAGCAACCUGUCCCAGACAGGGGGAUAACACUUGGAAACAGGUGCUAAUACCGCAUAAGACCACGGGGUCACAUGGCUCUGGGGUAAAAGGAGCAAUCCGGUUUGGGGUGGGCUCGCGUCCGAUUAGAUAGUUGGUGAGGUAACGGCCCACCAAGUCGACGAUCGGUAGCCGACCUGAGAGGGUGAUCGGCCACAUUGGAACUGAGAGACGGUCCAAACUCCUACGGGAGGCAGCAGUGGGGAAUAUUGGGCAAUGGGACCGAAAGCCUGACCCAGCAACGCCGCGUGAGUGAAGAAGGCCUUCGGGUUGUAAAGCUCUGUUAUAGGGGACGAAGGAAGUGACGGUACCCUAUAAGGAAGCCCCGGCUAACUACGUGCCAGCCGCCGC
rnacentral:rRNA from 1 species